rnacentral:rRNA from 1 species
UACGUAGGUGGCAAGCGUUGUCCGGAUUUAUUGGGCGUAAAGGGCGCGCAGGUGGUGUGCUAAGUCUGCCGUGAAAUCUCCCGGCUCAACUGGGAGGCUGCGGUGGAGACUGGCACGCUUGAGGUACCUAGAGGUCGGUGGAAUUCCCGGUGUAGUGGUGAAAUGCGUAGAGAUCAGGAGGAACACCAGUGGCGAAGGCGGCCGGCUGGGGGUGACCUGACGCUGAGGCGCGAAAGCGUGGGGAGCGAACAGG